UGAGCAAUUGCAGUGAAGUAAGCGCCGUUCAAGUGCUCUUUGGAAAUCUCGGGACUGGUUGCAGCAUAUAAGGAAGUCAUGGCGCCUCUGAUUGGAUCCAAAAGUAAAUACUGGAAGACUGAUUUCUCUAACAAUUUGAGAGCAAAGGUAGGUGAGUAACGAGUCAGCUCGGUACGGAUAACACCUGGGUGUAGACUAACGGAAUAUAUUCCAUAUUUUUCUAAACGUUUGGCUAAAGCAAUGGAAUAAAGGAUCUGGGCAUACUUAGAUUGUCCAUAACGAGCAAAAGUACCCAAAAGUACAUGCGGGAGAUUUAGGUCAGGGAAGUAGAUACCAGAAUAAGGGGCCUGCAAAUAUGCAAUGCUUGCGACGUGAACUAUUCUAACAUCGCCAGGUCGACAUUCUUCUGCAGUACGACGGAGUGUGGGGAGCAAGAGCUCAGUGAACAAGUAAUGUGAAAGGUA